AGUGGCAGUUUCAUUGAUUUUGAGAAGGAUGGAAAUGUAGGGGGAGACACUGAGUUGCACCCUCGAUAAAUCAUUGUACUUUGUUAAUCAGAUCUGUUGUAUUCUUGGGAGUGACCUUUGGGAAUAAAGCCUUUUUAACUCCUCUUUCUCUUCUAGCUAAUGUAUUCUUAUUUAUAUGACUUUCUUGUCUUGAAUAGAAAUAAAGUUCACUAUGGAGGAACUACUGACUGGUAUGUCGAAGAUGAAGAGAAGGAAGAUCAAAUAUACUGGGAUGAAGCAAGGAA
rnacentral:lncRNA from 1 species